GCAUAUCACAUAGAAACACCAGUUCUCAUCUGGUCACCGAAGUUAAGCAACAUCAAGCCUGCUCAGUACAUAGAUGGAUGACCUCUUGGGGAUACCACAUGCUGUG